rnacentral:rRNA from 1 species
AGAGUUUGAUCCUGGCUCAGGACGAACGCUGGCGGCGUGCUUAACACAUGCAAGUCGAGCGGUGAAGCCCUUUCGGGGGUGGAUCAGCGGCGAACGGGUGAGUAACACGUGGGCAACCUGCCCCUAACACUGGGAUAACUCCGGGAAACCGGGGCUAAUACCGGAUACGACUUCGAGCGGCAUCGCUUGAAGUGGAAAGU